GCUGUCCUCAUAACCUAGGGAAGUCUGCGGGACCCACCUGGCACGCCCGAGAAAACUGAGGCCCAAGGCUGAAAGUGACCUGCCUGAGGUUCCCCAGAGUGAGUUCUCCCUGAGUCGAGCAGCCAACCCAUAACUUCUAACCUCCAGACCUAGGAAAGGAUGUAUGCCUUUGAUUAACAGAUACCGAGAAAACAAAUUUCUUGCUAUGUUCUGAGAUUCAACACGUAAGCAGAAUUGAGAACACCAAAUUCUGUUUGAGGGGCAGAGGUCUAAGAAGGCUUCAUAGAGGAGGUGAUGAUGGAGCCGGGCCGUAUCAGGUGAAUUUUCGAAAAACCAAAUCUGGCCGAGUGUGGUGGCUCAUGCCUGUAAUCCCAGCAGCUCAGGAGGCUGAGGCAGGAAGAUCGAGAGUUCAA